rnacentral:rRNA from 1 species
GUUCCAGACUCCUACGGGAGGCAGCAGUGGGGAAUAUUGCACAAUGGGGGAAACCCUGAUGCAGCGACGCCGCGUGAGUGAAGAAGUAUUUCGGUAUGUAAAGCUCUAUCAGCAGGAAAGAAAAUGACGGUACCUGACUAAGAAGCCCCGGCUAACUACGUGCCAGCAGCCGCGGUAAUACGUAGGGGGCAAGCGUUAUCCGGAUUUACUGGGCGUAAAGGGAGCGUAGACGGUGAAGCAAGUCUGAAGUGAAAGGCGGGGGCUCAACCCCCGGACUGCUUUGGAAACUGGCGGGCUGGAGUGCCGGAGAGGUAAGCGGAAUUCCUAGUGUAGCGGUGAAAUGCGUAGAUAUUAGGAGGAACACCAGUGGCGAAGGCGGCUUACUGGACGGCAACUGACGCUGAGGCUCGAAAGCGUGGGGAGCAAACAGGAUUAGAUACCCCCGUACCA